GUGCACAUUUCAUUGUCUUUUUUCUUUAUGUUAAGAGAAAAGGUAUUUCUGAUGUGCUAAACAAAUCUUUGGAGGUAAAUUAGCAGCAUGACUAAUUUAGCCAUUGCUGUCAGUCACCUUCAGACAAAU
rnacentral:snoRNA from 1 species